rnacentral:ribozyme from 1 species
CAUUAUUAUUUUUUCUUUUUUUUUUCAUUAUUAUCGUCCUUUGCUUCCUCUACUCAGAAAACUCUGAAAAAAC